rnacentral:tRNA from 1 species
GCAUUGGUGGUUCAGUGGUAGAAUUCUCGCCCUCCAUGUGGGAGAUCUGGGUUUGAAUCCAGGCCAAUGCG